AACGAACGCUGGCGGCAUGCCUAACACAUGCAAGUCGAACGAGACCUUCGGGUCUAGUGGCGCACGGGUGCGUAACGCGUGGGAACCUGCCCUUAGGUUCGGAAUAACUCCCCGAAAGGGGUGCUAAUACCGGAUAAUGUCUUCGGACCAAAGAUUUAUCGCCUUUGGAUGGGCCCAGGUCGGAUUAGCUAGUUGGUAGGGUAAAAGCCUACCAAGGCGACGAUCCAUAGCUGGUCUGAGAGGAUGAUCAGCCACACUGGAACUGAGACACGGUCCAGACUCCUACGGGAGGCAGCAGUGGGGAAUAUUGGACAAUGGGCGAAAGCCUGAUCGAGCCAUGCCGCGUGAGUGAAGAAGGUCUUCGGAUUGUAAAGCACUGUGAGUUGGGAGGAAGGGCAGGAAGUGAAUACCUUGCGGUUUUGACGUUACCAACAGAAUAAGCACCGGCUAACUUCGUG
rnacentral:rRNA from 1 species